rnacentral:rRNA from 1 species
UACGUAGGCAGCAAGCGUUGUUCGGAAUUACUGGGCGUAAAGAGUGUGUAGGCGGUGCUGCAAGUCUGGUGUGAAAUCUCCCGGCUUAACUGGGAGGGUGCAUUAGAAACUGGAAUGCUAGAGGAUGGGAGAGGUAAGCGGAAUUCCUGGUGUAGCGGUGAAAUGCGUAGAUAUCAGGAGGAACACCUGUGGUGUAGACAGCUUACUGGACCAUUUCUGACGCUGAGACACGAAAGCGUGGGUAGCAAACAGG